AGCGGUAAAUCCCCAUGUUUUCUUCUCCAGCAAUGUGCCUGCGCAAAGAGGCACAGCAUUGUGUGACACUGUUAUUUUCUCAGGCAGUCACUUGCAAUGGUGCUGAAUAAAAGCGCUUCAGGGCUGCUGUCAGCUGAGUCUCCAGCUGCUUUCCAAGAAAUGGCUGUUGAUCGUCUGGGAACAAAACAUACCACCAAACGUCACCAGCAUAUUUAUUUUAAAACCCUCUGAGUGCUGUUAAUUACCAUGCUGUGGAAUGCGAAAGGAGCAGAGGAGAGAAGCAAAACAAGAACUUGCCUACGGCAACCGCUCGCGCAGCGCCUUCGCGCCCCCCCUCCCCACCGCCGCCUCAGAGGCCGUUUAAGAGAGUUUUGCAUGGCGAGUCGUCCACGGCCAUCAGUAACAAACCUCUUCAGGAGACUGAUCCAAAAACAUCUAGUGAAUCUCUCUGCUCCUUGUCUAACAACUUAAUUGCAACACCAUCCUGGCUCUAAAAGUUGGAAUACAGAACAUAUCAAAGGAAAACAAUAAGGAUCAUCCCCAUGGCUGCCUGCAUGGCUCCUGUUGUGUCUUGCCCGCCCUCAGAGCAGCCGGGGCCUUCUUACCUGCUCCCGAACACUGAGGAAUGUAUGCCUCCCGGCCCAAGUCCUGGCUCCAUGCCCACACAAACUGCAGAAGAAGGAGCAUCUCCCUCCCCCAGCCCUGACUCCAUGCCCAGGCAAACGGAGCAGCUAGACCUCCCUCCUCCACAGCAUGUGAGCCUGAGGAGGGUUUAUUCCCAACAGCUGCUGAUUGGUGUGACCCUCGCAUCAGAAGGCUGGAUAGGCGGAGGCAACAGAAGGAAGGGAGGGGCAGGCCUUAAUGAGUGCUGAGUCAUGGAGCCACACCCCAUGGCCUAUAUAAAGGAUCUGCUUUCUGGCAGUCUCUGAGUCAGGCAAAAGUCGAACUUAUCUUGCUGAAGUCACUUACUGGUCUCCUGCCUGCUCUGAGGACUUUGCUAGGACUUUGGGCAGAGCUGCAGAGGCAAGCCUGAUUCGGAUUUCCCUGACCCGGCCGUCAGCGGAGGAGUGGGACACGACAGCUCCUAUAAUCAAAGUCAUCCAGCUUACUGCUAGUUAUCCUCUUUUUCUCUUUCCUUCCCAGAAUUACAGAUUUCUCAAAUGAACUAAGUCUUCAUAUCAAUGUCCAAAAUAAGAUGAUUUGAAUCUGAUUGUUGAUGCUUCAAGUGCAAACACUAUUGAU